AGAUUUGUGAUGGUGCAUUCCUCAGAUGGUUAUGAUCAGUUCAGAGACCAGAUUCAGUGCAGAUGAUCAGUUGGCUUGGAGGAUGGCAAUGCAUUGCAUUCAUUCAUCAGCAUCAUUACAUCUUGCAUUAAUUGCAUCUAACACAUGUUUACCCAUAUGCAGGGACAUUUUUGAUCAAGAUCCUGGUGGAGAGGUUUCUU
rnacentral:lncRNA from 1 species